GUGGAACGUUACGUAUGAUUGUCGAUGACAUGGGACAAUGAAGGUACCAGUAUACAGCAAAACUACCAAAUGUGAGAACAACACAACAUGGCAUAACUCUAUGAUGUAUGCGGGUGCUAAAUUUUGGAAUUAGCUUCCCAAGAAGAAAUAUGAUGAAGUAAUACAUUUGAAAGAUGGCAGAGAGUUCUAACAGUGAUAUGGAUUAUGGGUGUGUUCUGUCUAUCACUCCAACAAUUGAG